ACCAGAUCUGCUGGCCGUUGGGAGGAUAAGGUUGCGGAGUCAUGGCCAGUGACGACUUCGUAGGCCAUUCGAAUGAUUGUCGGCCGUUGCGUCGCACACAACCACUGCCAAGAUCAUGGGUGGAUGCGACGACCGCAAGCUAACCUCGUCCAAAGCUCUCUAUAAAUUCCUCUCCUCCAUUCAAUUCACCACCAAAUUCUCUUCUCUCUCUCUCUUUCUUUCUUUCUCCACCUCUGGUGGCUGACAUGCCACCCCGGCCAAGCACCGCCCAAAGUUCCCUCCACCUCUCUCUAUUUUUUCUGCAUGUUCUGUUUCACUAUUCCAAGUCCGAACUUCAUCACCCUUCUCUAUUUUCUCCAUGUGCUCUGUUUUCCCCAUCACUUGCCGGUGAGUCCCUCACCAUCUCCAAGUUCUGUGGCAGAGGAGGUUGCCACCUAGGGCAGCUGGGGGCGUUGCCCCCUUUCCCCUUCCUCCUUUGUUUCCUCAUAUGCACGGCCAAACCACCAUGACACCUUGCCACUGGCUGCACCACCACACCGCAGGCCACGCCACCGCACCACGAGUUACGUCACUACUGGACCUUCUUCUUUCAUCUUUCCUCUCCUCUCUUCCUUCUCUUCCUUCUCUUCCUCCUCAUUUUCUUCCUCUUCUUCUUUUAAGUUUUUAAUUUCUCUUCCCAUUUUCUAUUCCCUUAUUUAUUAAUUAAAAAAGAUUUUCUUCUCUAGCUGUUAAUUCCUCUUUUCUGACCCAUGGGCUAGAUGUAGUGAUGAUUUAUGCCACUAUAACAUACCAAACCCAGACCCUGAUUGAAUCCAGAUUGAGACUCUCUCUCUUCUUCCCCUUUUUCUCUCUAAGCCAGACCUAGAUAUCUUAGUUCAAAGCCAACCUAGACCCUUGAUUGAACCGAGAUUGAGAUUCUCUCUCUCUCUCUUCUUUCCCUUUCUCUCUCUAAGCCAGACCUAGAGAUUUUAGUUCAAAGCCCUGACUCUCUUUGUUCAAAUCCAAGUUGACCCUUGGGUGGAGGCCCUAGCUGCCCCGGCCCCAGGCAGCAUACCGACCCAGUAUCUCAGCCUUAUCAGGUACCCUCUAGAAUUUGGGUACCUUUAACUUUUAUUAAGCCACUUAAAUCAUAACUCAUCUUAAUUAAUUAGUUCACCUUGUUUAGACCAACUAGUGCAAUUGAGUACCGCCCUUGAUCAACCUUGCCUUUUCUUCAUCCUGAUUUAGGGGCAUAAGGCCAUAUUCAUAAUAGUAUUUUAAUUUUUAACUUUGCUUAGCUUUUAAGAUGAUGAUGAAAUUAAUUAUAUUUUAAUAAUAUUAAAAUAUAUGAACCUGACAUACCUAUCUGAAGUAGAAUUUUGAAGCAAGAAGAGGUAAGUAACCUAGUGCUUCAAAGUAUAUUUUUCAAAUUUUAAUAACAUGAUAAUUUGUUUAUUAAAUUUGAUUGUAAUAUUUGUUUUAUACUUGGUUAAAUAGGUCGGGCAUGCUAUUGUUACAAUAGUAAUUUUUUUUAAAUAUAUUAUAUGUUAUGUUAUGAAAUUUGAAAAAUAUGCCUAGAUAAAUUAUGAAAUUUGUUUCAUAUAUUCUCAAUACGGCUAUGAUCUGGCUCCACCAAUAAGAAACUGGUUUCGACAUCGAACCACUAGUAAUUAGGAUAGUUAUCUGGUACUUUGUGCAUUUUGUAUGUGGCCCAUGCCACUAGGUUACGUGGUCAUAGCCUGAUGUUGGGUCUCUAGUAUUAGUUUAUAAAAAUAAUAAAAACUUUCAAUAAAUUUGAAGUAAUAAAAUCUAAAAUUAUGACAUCAUGUUGAUGUCAACAUUUUGUGAACUAGUUGAACCAGCUCAACCGAAAAUUGGUUAGUAAAACGGUUCAACAUCAGGUCCAAUUUUUAAAACAUUGGGUAUGGGGACAAUUAAAUAUUAAGUUUUCAAGCCUGUAUUGAUGACCCCAAAAAAGAAGCAUUUUCCAACUUACAGAUACCCCAGAGUAUUUUCCAACUUUAAGUUUUAGAUUUCGUUGCUCUAUAUAUUUUGUCCAUGGACCAUAUCAUUAAAUGAUGAGCAAAGCAAGGAUCAAAAAAGAAGCAUGAGGAUAGUAUAGCCUUAUAUCUAAUCUAGUCUUUUGUCCUACAAAAAUUAAGAAAAUUGUGUUUUGAUCAAAGGAUUGACUAUUUGGUCAACUAUACCAUUACAUCAACCUGCCUAAUUUGAAGAAGAGAGAAGCUAAAUUAAUUUCCUACCACUAAAUUAAUCCACUGUCCUACUAAAACAAGAAUAACUAAGUACAGAAUUACAUCCUACUUAUGUGCAAGGGACAUGACCUACGAUAGCUAAUCAUGACAGAAAUUAUCAUCAAAUAUGGACGUUCAAAAUCUUUCUUGUCUUCACUUAAUAUCAAUUCAAGGCUUGACAGUCCCUUCUAAUCUUCCCUUGGCUUCCCCAGCGAAGUUGCCAGAGUUGGUCAAAAAGCCAUUCAUAAUUGCUGCGGCAACGAGUUCAUGAACAAUACAUAGCUCCUUGGAUUGACAUUUUUGCAGGAAUGCCUGCAUUAGUUCUUGAGUUACUGCUGCCUGAGGGACAGGUCUAACAGGGACAAGGAGCUGAAGGAGUAAAGGUCUAUGGAGAAUUGAUCAGUACUAGAAGGCGCAAUCAUGUCGUUAAUGCUCAACAUGGUAGUCAACGAAACGCUCCGGCUGUAUCCACCGGCGCCCCUCGUAGCCAGAGAAGCAAAGAAGGAUGUCAGACUUGAAGGUCUGGAUAGCCCAGGUGGAACAACCUUGGAGGAAUUUGUAGCAAUCCACUAUGACAAGGAGGUAUGGGGGGACAACGCCGCCGAGUUCGAUCCAAGCCGCUCGAAAACCUCUCACCCAUGGGCCCAGGAUGUGCCUCAGGAUGAACUUUGCUCUCCUGGAGAUCAGGUUGGUUCUUGCCAUGAUGCUUGCAGAGUUUCACCUUCGUCACCUCGCCUGCCUACAAGCAUGACCCCUUGUAUACUCUCACUAAUCACCAUGAAGCCUGGGAAAGGGGCGCAAAUCAUAUUCAAAGAAAUAUGAUGUUAGUAUGUCCAUCUGGAAUAAUCAUCCUAUGUGAUGUGGAAUGCAGGGAAUGUAUAAAAAGAUUAGUAUUAUCUAUUUCUGCUUUGCUUCUGUAGCUAUGUGCUGCAAAACCCUAAGAUGAGCACAGUAUCUUGGAGGUGUGGCUAUUACAAAUUCAAAUUCAUCUUGACAUGGAAGAUGGCUCAAGGAUAAAUUUCAAAGGGGCUGAGGACGAGAAGUGUAGGGGCAAAAGCAACAUGGGAUGUACAAAAAUGGGCACGUCAACAUAAAAAGAAAUUGAAGAUGGAGGAUAUGAAGCACAAUCAAGAUAUUCUAGUCCCAAAUUAAAGGCCAAUAUAUGACCAGGCAGUUGGGCUUACUGCCAAUACACAAGUUCAUGAUCAUUCGACUACCAUCUUAGCAGCAAAAAUCCUGAUACACAGAUGCAUAGGAGAAAUGUAGCCCACCAUCAUAAAGGCCUCUUGGAAUGAAGCAAACAAAAAGCUACCAACUGAUAUAACUACUAGAACAUAAAAGACAUAAAAGGACUCCCUUGAGCUUGCAGUCCAAAGAGAAAAACAAAGCAAUGCCAGGGCUUUGGGCAAGAUUCAAGGAAAAAUUGACUAAAUAUUAAUGAAAAAUAACAAUUUUCCUCAAUUUCCUUUUAGAACCAUUCCUCUAUAACUGCACCUUAAUAUGUUACAUUUUAGACCUUUACAUUCCAUUCAUCGGGGAAUGCAAACACAUAAAUAGUAUAUCCAACAUCAUGAUGAUAAGUUGCAGAUUCCAACAAACUCU